GGGGGAUGGAGGAUGCGCUCUCCUCUGUCCCUUCAAGGCCUCUUCCUCGUCCCAGGUCGAGUCUCCUCCUUGCUGACCAGGCAUCGCGAGCAGAUGAAUCCUCUGGGCGGUUGUCCCUGUCAGGCUGUCAGGACCUGAUUUUCCCUGGUUCACUAAAGCACCAGAAGGUAUGAAGGCGGAGAGAGGAAACAGGGCAAUGGAAUGAACACUUCUCAAGAAUCUCUCAGGUGCCACGGACUGAGCCAGGUGCCUUCCAUGUGUUAUCUCAUUUUACAGGGCAGGUAACAUUUCUGAAAGGUCAGGCAGCUAAAAAGCAGACAGCUUUCUGGCACAUUAGAGAAACAAAAGAAAUGUUGGAGACUGGAAUGCCUGCUGUGUCAAGGCACCUAAUUAGAAAACAACGUCAGAGUGAAUUUGUCGUGCGAGUCUCCAGCUCUGCCAGAAGAACUAAAAGAAAUGUGUCACCAGAGGAAUCACAAAGUAAAGUCUAUUAUUGUUCUGGGGAUUCUGGGGAUUCGAUGCACAAAUCAGAGGUCUGACAGGGGAUGGGGCAUGUGUUACGUCUUAGUAAUGUGCUAAAUGGUAGUGCUUCCAGAUUCCCCACAGAAUCCUACUGCAGUCAGAGAUCUUGAUGUCGGUUGAACUUAUCUAUUUAUAACGAGGAAACAUUAAGGUAACUCAAACCAACAAAAUAAAACAGGUUGACAGUGACUAAGCAACAACAGAGUGCUAGAUUUAUGUAGAGAUUCUUUCUUUCAAGUUGCUGAGACAUUUCACAAAGGAGAACCGUAGAUUAUCAUCAACUUCCAUUUGGGGACUUAGAAAUCCACCAAAGACAAAGACAAUGUUGGUAUCAUUCCUUCCAGCUCUUGGCUGAAACUGUUCUUUCCUAUGUCACCAGUGAACUUCUACUGGCCAACGCCCAAAGAAUACUUUCUCAGUUUUAGUUUAGAGACCUCUCUAUUCCACUUGCAUGGUUAGACACUAACUGCUGGAAACUUCCAAUCUGAAACACUCCCUGGGAAAUGUCUUAUUUGCAAAUUUUACAGCUAAAAUCCCUCCUCCAUAGACAAUCUAUUAAUAAACAGUACCUGCAAAUGGGGGACUCUCUGGGGGAAAUUUUUUCACUGCAAUUGGUGUCAGCAUUAUAUUAUAAUUAAUCCAUCUUUAUCUAAGAUAAAGUUGUAGGUUCAGAUAAAUAAUGUCCCUCUCCCUUUAACACUUGUUAUACUUGUGCUAGGCCUAUUUGUGGCCACACCUGGGAUUGAGUGGUUGAGAUGAGAUGCAAAAGAGAUUAUCUAAACUUCUGGGUGAUUUUUUGCUGAAUGAAUGUCUUUUAAAGCACCAUUUCUGAUCCCAUUUGGCUUCUCUCUAGCCUCUAUCGAUUAAUUGUUGAUUUAAAUUGGAAGAGAGGCUAUAUGGAGUCUAGAACUUUACUUAGUUCAUUGUUAUUUCCCCAGGACCUCGAAAAGUGCCUGGGAUAUAACUCACAAAUAUGUGUCGAAUGAAUGAGUAGUUCUAUCUGUUUCAUGUCUGGGUCAAUGUAGGCUGUAUCCACAUGUUCCUGGUAGGGGAAGUAAUAGUAACAAAGAUUUUGGCUAAGCUUCAGAGGCCAUGAAUUAAUAGAUUUUGGAAGAGGUCACUUUAGGAUUUAUCAGCUUCAAAUCUUAUAUAAACUUCUUACUGGAUCCAAAAGACUCCACUAUUUAUGGGAGACUCAUGGUUUGGCCAUUACAAUGGUGAAUGAGGUAAGGUUUUGGGACAUACGUAACCAGGCCUGAAUUGGUUGAAUAUGAACUUGAAAGUUCAAAUUCAGACUAACAUCUUUCUUUUGUCAGCUCUUCAAUCUCAGCACUUGUCAACUUAAAUAACAAACAGAAGAGGGGCUCUCUAAAAUAAAAAUGAUAUGUACUCAGGAGUAAGGCAUUGCAAUGGAAAUAUGUGUGCCAUAGUAAACUAUGUGCAUACUAAGAGAGGUAAAGAAAGACAAAAAUUUUUAAAGGAAAAAUGAGAUGGAUUACAUAAUUGUUUGGAGAUAAUUAUCCUUGCUACAAAGAUCAAUAGAAAGGGUGAUGCCAGUACAAGGUUGGACAAGCAAUUACUGGGCAGAUGUCUUUACAGAAGUAUUUGUGUGUGUGUGUGUGUGUGUGUGUGUGUGUGUGUGUAUAAGAUUGUGUGGCCUUCAUGCAAGGUUGUGGUUUUUACAGUCUUUUGUGAUAUUUUUUGUUAUCAGGUACACAAGCAAGCGAACCCACUCUUCAUAGCCUUCCCCAACCCUAUUUGUCAAGUGUUUUUUUUUCUUUAAUACUAGUGAAAUAAGAUAGAAAGGAACAAGUCUCAUACCUGAUGUAUGGGCCAAACAAGAAAUCCAUCAUGCUGCCUAAUGUCAUGACCAGAGAUGUUCAGACUGCAAACCAGGAGAGUUGAUGUUUUCAUGCUUUUCUUAAGACAUCGAAAGACUCCACAUCAUGAGACUCUUACCCCUUUUAAUGCCUACUUUUUCACUUGGCAAGAUAAUAAUGUAAUUGAAAUUUCAUAAUCAGUAGCUCCUGCUGGAAACUUGACUAAGAGAUCCUUUAAUAUCCAUUGGUUAAAUAGGAAAACAGGCCACAUGGUAAUAACAGCUCUCACUUAAUUCUCUCUCAUCAUUUGAUGUCUUCAAUUGUUUAUCUUUAAGCCUCAGUGUAUGGCUCAAUACCAUUAUUUAAACUGGGAUUUUCAUACUACUAUUAUUUUUACUUUGUUGCUGCCGUUGGUUGUUGUUGUCUGAGACAGGGUCUCACACGGUCACCCAGGCUGGAGUGCAGUGGCACCAUGGGUCAUGGCUCACUGAAGCCUUGAUAUUUUUACUUUGUAUUUUCCCUUUUUAAACUUUGUAUCUGCAAGCCCUGUGGUCCCAGCUACUCCAGGGGCUGAGGUGGGAGGACUGCUUGAGCCUGGGAGGCAGAAGUUGCAGUGACCCCGGAUCACACUACUACUGUACUCCAACCUGGGUGACAGAGACCCCAUCUCAAAACCAAACAAAAACUUUGUAUCUAUUACUUAUUAAAAUUUUUGCAGAAACACAACCCUAAUAGGAUAAUACUAGCCCAGCACUUUGAGAUGAUAACAAAAGACUAUGGAACAGACAAAAUUGAACUUAAUAAUAGACUCUAGGUAGAAUUAGCAUGAGAACCACUUUCUUCAAAUCUCCCUUAUUGUUCAAAUGUGGCUGAAAGGGUUUUGACACUGACUCUUAGCCGACAUUCACUCCCCACAAGGUGGGAUGAGACAAGCAACUGGGACCAAGGGCCGUCACAUCCAACUACAGGAUAAUCAGUGAUGCUUUCAGAGAAAGAUCUUGAUCAAAGGUGGGAAAUGUGAAAGUUGUCAGAAUCAAAAUAGAGUCACCAGUAUUAAAAAAAAAAAACUUGA
ensembl:lncRNA novel transcript